GACGUAGGGCGCGAGCGUUGUCCGGAUUUAUUGGGCGUAAAGAGCUCGUAGGCGGCUUGUCGCGUCGUUCGUGAAAACCUGCAGCUCAACUGCAGGCUUGCGGUCGAUACGGGCAGGCUGGAGUUCGGUAGGGGAGACUGGAAUUCCUGGUGUAGCGGUGAAAUGCGCAGAUAUCAGGAGGAACACCCAUAGCGAAGGCAGCUUGCUGGGACGUUACUGACGCUAAGGCGCGAAAGCGUGGGGAGCGAACAGG
rnacentral:rRNA from 1 species